UGCCCACUGAAGUAUUAAAUGGCCGCAGUAUCCUAACUGUGCAAAGGUAGCAUAAUCAUUAGUCUUUUAAUUGAAGGCUGGUAUGAAUGGUUGGACGAGAUACUAACUGUUUCAAUUAUAUUUACAGUAGAAUUUUAUUUUUUAGUCAAAAAGCUAAAAUUAAUUUAAAAGACGAGAAGACCCUAUAAAUCUUUAUACUUAAAAUAUAUUAAUUAUUUAGAUUAAUUAGAUUAUUAUAUUGAAUAGUAUUUUAUUGGGGUGAUAUUAAAAUUUAAUAAACUUUUAAUUUUUGAAAACAUUAAUUUAUGAAUAAUUGAUCCGUUUAUAACGAUUAAAAAAUUAAGUUACUUUAGGGAUAACAGCGUAAUUUUUCUGGAGAGUUCAUAUCGAUAGAAAAGAUUGCGACCUCGAUGUUGGAUUAAGAUUCAAAUUUGGGCGCAGCCGUUCAAAUUUUAAGUCUGUUCGACUUUUUAAAUCUUACAUGAUCU
rnacentral:rRNA from 1 species